AGGGAAUAUUGGUCAAUGGGCGCAAGCCUGAGCCAGCCAUGCCGCGUGCAGGAUGAAGGCCCUCUGGGUUGUAAACUGCUUUUAUAUGGGAAUAAAAAGCCCUUGCGAGGGCUAUUGAAGGUACCAUAAGAAUAAGUACCGGCUAACUCCGUGCCAGCAGCCGCGGUAAUACGGAGGGUACAAGCGUUAUCCGGAUUUACUGGGUUUAAAGGGUGCGUAGGCGGCUCUUUAAGUCAGUGGUGAAAGCCUAGUGCUUAACACUAGAAAUGCCAUUGAAACUGAAGAGCCUGAAUCAAGGAGAGGUAAGCAGAAUUUAUAGUGUAGCAGUGAAAUGCUUAGAUACUAUAAGGAAUACCAACAGCGAAGGCAGCUUACUGGCCUUGUAUUGACGCUGAGGCACGAAAGCAUGGGGAGCAAAC
rnacentral:rRNA from 1 species